AACACGACUCUCGACAACGGAUAUCUUGGCUCUCGCCACGAUGAAUAAUGUAGUGAAAUGUGAUCAUUAGUGUGAAUUGCAGAAUCCCAUGAAUCAUCGAGUCUUUGAACACAAGUUGCACUCGAGGCUCCAAUCGAGGGCACGUCUACGUGGGCAUCAUAG
rnacentral:rRNA from 1 species